CUCACUCUUACUUUGGUCAGGCCAUAUCUCAUACUGUACAUGGACAGGAUCUUUACAUUCAACAGUGGGAUCACCUCACAGCUACAGUGGAUAAACUUCAUCCAGUGGAUACAUUUCUUCUCAAACUUCAUAUAUUAGGAGAAAUGUUUAAUGGAUUAUGUUUUCAGACGUCUGCGUUUGGUAGCUGGGUACAAGAUUGAAGCUUUAAAAUUUGGACUGAUCUGAGGCACAACAGUCAAGUUCUUCUCCAAAUUAAAAGAAAACAAACUUUGGACAUUAACUUUAUUCCAUUCCGAAUUCAUGAUUGACAUCUUGGAGCGAAUGCACAACUUUUGAACAGCAAGGAUAAUCGAUCCUGUGCAGCUCUGCAGUUCAUUAUCUACACCUCACAUCAGUACCUGCAAGUCUGUGAAAACAUCAGCGAGGUUUAUGAAGCAUAGCGUGUGUUUCUGAACAACUUCUAAACUUGUUUUCAGCAUGCUGAGAUCAAGCACUUCUGACAAAGUGCCGACAAGCCAUUCUGAAGGAAAUUGAACAGAACCAAGAUGUGACGCAAGAAAAUGCAACAACAACAGUCCUGGCCUCGACAACAGCUCCCCCAAAAACAACCAGACAAUCUUACGACAAUGCCUACUUCUACAUUCUGUUUGUAAUGUUUUUCUACUCUUUCCUGGCUGUUACCCUGUUAAAAGGUUUGGUUCAACACGAUAAAGCCAAGAAGGAUCCGUAUGAGGAGUUCAUGGCCCCCAUGGACUCCCCUGAGAAAAAAUACAAGGAAGGCCCAUUCAGUAAAAAAAACGAUUUUGAAGAGGAAAACACAAUCUAAGCAAGAAGUCCCACAUGUUAAAAACAUGUAAACCGUAAACAUUGACAAUUCGGUGCAACAAAAAAUGGAUGUAAAAAAAAUUGGAUUGAAUUAUUUCCAUUUAAACCUCUUGUGCUGUUAUUGGCAGACCUUUUUUAUAUAGUGAGAUCAGCUGUUUGUCUCUGUGACCCCUGCGCGCAAAGUUACAAGCAAUUGCAAGGUGAAUUUACAAAUUAACAAAGUCGACCUUGUAAUUACAUUUGUUUUGACAAAAUCAGAAUUAGGAAGUAAGUUUAUACGAUGUGCGUUCGGUUUUUUUUUGUUUGAUGUGGAGAGGUUAGAUUUAAUCAAGCAGAAGGCUGAAAGCAGGGAUGCGGAGCGGGGAACGGCCGCGCAUGCGAUCCGAUCCGUACAGAACGCGGCGAAAAAUGCGCACAGCGAGCGCUCGUCUAAUUUCAACCUCCCGCUGACCCCGUGUGAUCUUACAUCAGGACGCAUGGAACCUUAGACUUUAUCGGUACUGUGAAUUAACGUCAAUUGCAUCUAGCAAGGAUGGCGGGGGAUGCCUUUAAUGAGAACAUACGCUUUUCAUUUUGACGACAUUCUGCCGGCCAGCUCAUGAAAGCCAGAUUGUGGAGAGAGGGUGCAAGCGGUCUAAUCUGGAGGAACGGACGAACAACUCGCGAUUUGCACCCUCCUCCCUCCCUCCCUGCCUCGCUCUGGCCGGGUUUCAUUGGAGAGAAGCAAAUCAAAGGCUGGUCGGUUGAUGGUGGCAGCGAGAAGCGAGUUCAGAUGGUGAUGUUAAGAGGACCAGGGCGUCAAACGUCACCAGGGACAGGAUUUCGCAAUCGCAUUAAUUGCAGAUGUUGGCAAAAUGACAGCUGGGAUUGAAUAAUUACCGUGUUUGAAGGUCAUAACAAGUCUAAAAAUAAACUAGAACUAAGUGUAGUUUACAGAAAAAUUAAGCAUAAAUUAAGUUUUUAUUUUGUCACUGAAAAACUGCGUUAAACAAUAGGCCAGUUUGGUCGAAAAUAAAGUGUGCAGGGAGGCAAAAUAAAAUGUAUAAAAUAGAUGCACACAUUAAAUUCUGGUGGGAGUAAGUGUAUUCGAAAGUCUGACAACUUUUUAAAUGUAGUUACACUUUAGUGCAGGCAUUUGAUGGAGGCCUGAAUCCCCCUUUACCAUCUGAAGUAGCUUAUUGCUUUCAUUAAGAGGCUCAUAAUCAUAAAUAGCUCAUUUUGGUCCUAUGUGUAGCUUUUAAAAUAUAUUAUAGCCAAAAAAUGCACUAACCGUUCUGUAAGUCACUUCGGAGAAACGCCUCUGCACACAGCAAUAGUUCUAUGCACAAUGAAUUGUGCGAACAUAAUCACAUUCAGUGAUAGGAUUUCAGUGGUAGAAUAUUUAACCAGAACCCAGAAAUAGUUUAUUUAAGGGCAGCUGCAUAUCCUGGGUUAAAAGAGGAGCAUCCUGACCCGAGGAAGGGCCCGACCCGUCUUAAUUUAAUCUAUCCGCCCGCUUCUCUUUGAAGGCACGUCGCAGCCCGCGGGCAGAGCUGACCACCUCUUUCCUUUGACCCGAUCACACUUCAUAGAGGGGGAUAGGAAAAGCAAACAAGAAAUGUUUUCAUUCGAACACAAACUGUUGCUUAAAUGCCACUACAGGGUCAUUUUACUGACUGUGCCCAUUUGUAAAAAAGAAAAUGAUGGAAAGAUUGAAAAUACUUAUUGACACUUUACAUUAUGGUAAAAAUGCCAUUACAUUUAGCUAGCGUACUUGUGAAAUUUUUGAGCUGGUUGUGAUUUCAGAUUGAUUUCGCCAUGAAGUAAAAAGUAUUGUAUAUUAUAUUAUUGACACAUUUCUAAAUGAUGAAAAACAUCUGGAUUUUUUAAAUAUGGAUUUCAAUUUACAAUACAAAUAAGAACAAUAAUAACAAUAAUAAUCAUCAUCUGUGACAUUCUGAUAUGGAAAAUGUAGACCAAAUACCUUUUAAUUUUAUAUUGUUUUUUUCCUUUCUUUUCUUGGGCAAUAGAAACUAAAAAUAAAUGCAAAAAUAUACCAAAUUAACACAUUCUGCACCUUUGCAGUACAACGCCCGUUGGCAUUUUAAUGAAUUUGGUUGUUUGUAAUUGUUAUAAAAGUCCGUAUACAGUAUGCAUUUAUUGUAUUUUUAAAUUCAGUCUUUUUAUUAUUUUUUGUUUAAAUAACUUGAUUGGAUUUUUUCAUUAACAAUUAUGUUACAGAAAACUAUUGUAAGAUUAAAGUGUGACUAUAUCCUUCAUUUUUAUUUAAUCCCAUAGUAUUUUUGUCCCUAAACAGAACUUAAUAGACAUAAUCAAACCCAUAGUAGAGGGGUGGUUACAACACUAGAUCCAGCAGUCACAACAAUCUAGAAAUGAAGCGUUUGGUUCCAAAAUGAGAUAACUCAGUUGUCAAAAAACAUUUUUUAUUGUGCAUUACGAUCUUUUUUUUAAGCUUUAUUGCAAACCAAUCUCAUUUUUGGUCUCAAACUCUUAAAAUAUUGUUCUGUUGUUCAUGUAUACAGCGUUCCUGUUAUACACAAUGUUACAUGACAGGAAUAGGUCAUUUUUAAACCUUGUUUAUAUUGUGACUAACACAAUUUUUGUUCUCCAGCAGAGAAGACUUUGAAAAGUCUUGUUUUGUUUAUGAUUUAUUCAUUCAUAUUUUGUUUUAUGAAACUCUACAUUACUUUGAAAAUGAGGUUCACAAAAAAAGGUCGUAGUGAAAUAAGCAACUUAUCAAUUUAUUGAAAAAAGGGUCCAUAUGCCAGUUUGACUACCAUGUAGCUUUAUUUUUUACAAUUUACACUGUAAAUAAUUUAAAACUUUAACACAUUUUCUUAUUUAACACUUAUUCAUAAGUGAUACAGUUAGUGUCAGUUAAAGGGUAAAUUGAUACAAUAUCCCUGGACAACAUAUGAAGAGUUUGAUUCCAAAAUGAUCCGUUUUUUAAAUUGUUUUCAAAAAAUCAUGUUUUUUAUUAUAUUAUCAUGUUUUAUGGUGUUUUAUUGUGUUAGUUAUCUUUAUUUUUUACAAAACAAACCAACUGCAGUUUGAACAUGAUUGAACAGAAAAAAUCAUGAUGUUUGAAUUCAUUAAAAAACGGAGUUAUCUCAUUUUUGAACCAAACCCUUCAUAUUUAUGGUCUUGUAUUAAUCUAGCAUAAAUUGACCGUUUUGUGUUGUAAAAACAAUUUCCAAGGUAUUUGUAAUUAGACAAAACUUGUUACUUGUUACAGUGACUCUAAUAUUUGCUAUAGGGUAACAGGGUUCAUCCUCUAGUGCCACCUGGUGGACAAAUCCAUUUACGCACACGUGAGAUACUGAGCAGACACUUACAGGACGAGGCAAACGAUGCAGCUCAUGUUCCAAAUGUUCUUUUAUGACUGGUGAUGCAAAGUUCUUGUGCAACUGCCAGUCUUACAUUGCUGCCUCCCCAACAAACCUUUGAUAUACAGAACGAACUAAAACCACAACAGAAACGAAAGUAAGUGAAUUUUUUUUUUUAAGUUACUUACAAACCACAUAUGUAGGCUUCGCUACGUAAGGUUUACAUCCACACAUUUCUCAUGAUAUAUAUGCUCAUAAUAGCCUAUAACGGAAAUAUAAAUUGCCGUACGCUUAGUUUCAACUGUCACUUAUACUGAAACAUUUGAAUGUAUGAGAGUUUCAAUAUAUUAGCUCUCUAUUAUUUCGUAAAUAAACAGCAGAAUAUGUGUAAAUAUCCAAUCUUGCAAAAAGUCAUACAAUGAAUUUAAAAGUGCCUUUUACGCACAGUGGCGUCAUAAUGGAAAUGAUUGCUAAUCACAAACAUAACAGCAUUAUUUUCUAAAAUAUUUUUUCUUUUUACAGUGUUUUGUGUGUUUUUUGUCACAAAACACUGUGUUUGUGUGUUUGUGUUGUGUGUCCACAACAUUUUAAGUGUUGUGUUGGCUAAAUCUGAAAACUGUUUUUUUACUAGCACAUUACCGAAGUAAAUUUUUAACUGGUAACACUUUAAGUUAAGAUACCCUUUGUAAAGCAAUUAUAAAUGAGUUCAUUAAUGAUUAAUAAAUUGUUACAAAUGCAUAAAAAAUCAAUCAGAACUACAGGGAUUCUAACGAAAUACCUCCCAAAUAGGCAGUAAUUUAAACUCCUUAUUUGUACAUGUUAUGAAUGCAUAAUAAAUGUAUUUAUUCCUUA